GGAUGGCCUAGAGUCUGGAGCUGCAGAAGAGGCAGGGCGGAGAGGAGGGGAAAGAAGCAUCUGAACGGCUAAAUUGUGCCAGCAGCGCUGAGAGCGAGAGUCGCGGUGGAGGACGGCCUAGAGUCUGGAGCUGCAGAAGAGGCAGGGCGGAGAGGAGGGGAAAGAAGCAUCUGAACGGCUAAAUUGUGCCAGCAGCGCUGAGAGCGAGAGUUGCGGUGGAGGACGGCCUAGAGUCUGGAGCUGCAGAAGAGGCAGGGCGGAGAGGAGGGGAAAGAAGCAUCUGAACGGCUAAAUUGUGCCAGCAGCGCUGAGAGCGAGAGUCGCGAGACCGUGCUGAGGACGUGGUUGUCUGUCCUUCCCCCGGGGAUGCCGUUGACUGCAGCCGUCUCAGGCUUGCGUGGCUUCUCUCUGCCCAGCGUUGCCAUCCUCGCAGCGCGGGGGCGAAAAGGGACACACAGAGCCCUUCCCGGCUGUGGACAGGAGCUGCCUCGGCUGAAGCUGGAGACGCCAACGAAAGGUAAAGCAGAAGAAACUGAAGGCGCUCUGGCUGCCAGCUGCCUUCCUGCCGCAGGCAAGAGAGAGCC